rnacentral:rRNA from 1 species
AGUCGAGGGGCAGCAUCAUCAAAGCUUGCUUUGAUGGAUGGCGACCGGCGCACGGGUGAGUAACACGUAUCCAACCUGCCGACAACACUGGGAUAGCCUUUCGAAAGAAAGAUUAAUACCGGAUGGCAUAAUUAUUCCGCAUGGGAUAAUUAUUAAAGAAUUUCGGUUGUCGAUGGGGAUGCGUUCCAUUAGGCAGUUGGCGGGGUAACGGCCCACCAAACCAACGAUGGAUAGGGGUUCUGAGAGGAAGGUCCCCCACAUUGGAACUGAGACACGGUCCAAACUCCUACGGGAGGCAGCAGUGAGGAAUAUUGGUCAAUGGACGAGAGUCUGAACCAGCCAAGUAGCGUGAAGGAUGACUGCCCUAUGGUUGUAAACUUCUUUUAUACGGGAAUAAAGUGAGCCACGUGUGGCUUUUUGUAUGUACUGUAUGAAUAAGGAUCGGCUAACUC